rnacentral:rRNA from 2 species
AUGAUGGACGAGUCUGAUGCAGCACGCCGCGUGGAGGAUGACACAUUUCGGUGCGUAAACUCCUUUUAUAUAAGAAGAUAAUGACGGUAUUAUAUGAAUAAGCACCGGCUAACUCCGUGCCAGCAGCCGCGGUAAUCGA